rnacentral:rRNA from 1 species
GAGGAACGCUGGCGGCGCGCCUAACACAUGCAAGUCGAACGAUUAAAGCACCUUCGGGUGUGUAUAAAGUGGCGAACGGCUGAGUAACACGUGGGCAACCUGCCCCUUUCAUUGGGAUAGCCACGGGAAACCGUGGAUAAUACCGAAUACUUCGAGACUUCCGCAUGGAAGACUCGAGAAAGCUCCGGCGGAGAGGGAUGGGCCCGCGGCCUGUUAGCUUGUUGGUGGGGUAACGGCCUACCAAGGCAAUGAUGGGUAGCUGGGUUGAGAGACCGACCAGCCAGAUUGGGACUGAGACACGGCCCAGACUCCUACGGGAGGCAGCAGUGGGGAAUCUUGCACAAUGGGCGAAAGCCUGAUGCAGCGACGCCGCGUGCGGGAUGAAGGCCUUCGGGUUGUAAACCGCUUUCAGCAGGGACGAGGAGAAAGUGACGGUACCUGCAGAAGAAGCCCCGGCUAACUACGUG